rnacentral:rRNA from 1 species
UGGGGAAUAUUGGACAAUGGGCGCAAGCCUGAUCCAGCCAUGCCGCGUGAGUGAAGAAGGCCCUCGGGUUGUAAAGCUCUUUUGUCCGGAAAAAAAAGCUUUCGGUUAAUACCCGGAAGUCCUGACGGUACCGGACGAAUAAGCACCGGCUAACUUCGUGCCAGCAGCCGCGGUAAUACGAAGGGUGCAAGCGUUGUCCGGAUUUAUUGGGUUUAAAGGGUGCGUAGGCGGUCUUGUAAGUCAGUUCUGAAAUAUCCCGGCUUAACCGGGAGGGUGGGAUUGAUACUGCAGGACUUGAGUGGAGUCGAGGUAGGCGGAAUUGACGGUGUAGCGGUGAAAUGCUUAGAUAUCGUCAAGAACACCGAUAGUGUAGACAGCUUACUAGUCUCAAACUGACGCUGAGGCACGAAAGUGUGGGGAUCAAA